rnacentral:rRNA from 1 species
UACGUAGGGGGCAAGCGUUGUCCGGAUUUAUUGGGCGUAAAGAGCUCGUAGGCGGCUUGUCGCGUCGACUGUGAAAACCCGCGGCUCAACUGCGGGCCUGCAGCCGAUACGGGCAGGCUAGAGUUCGGUAGGGGAGACUGGAAUUCCUGGUGUAGCGGUGAAAUGCGCAGAUAUCAGGAGGAACACCGAUGGCGAAGGCAGCUGCCUGGCCUAACACUGACGCUGAGGUGCGAAAGCGUGGGGAGCGAACGGG